rnacentral:rRNA from 1 species
UACGAAGGGGGCUAGCGUUGCUCGGAAUUACUGGGCGUAAAGCGCAUGUAGGCAGAUUGCUAAGUCAGGGGUGAAAUCCUGGAGCUCAACUCCAGAACUGCCUUUGAUACUGGCGAUCUUGAGUCCGGGAGAGGUGAGUGGAACUGCGAGUGUAGAGGUGAAAUUCGUAGAUAUUCGCAAGAACACCAGUGGCGAAGGCGGCUCACUGGCCCGGUACUGACGCUGAGGUGCGAAAGCGUGGGGAGCAAACAGG